CCAGUGUAGACUAUAUUAUUUUAUUGCAUAUCGAUCAUCUCUACUUAUUUUGUGAUGCCUUGACUCUUGAGUGUAUUUUCGGGCAUGGAGAGCUGCCACUCUUUGCCCUUUUGGUGGCAGAGAUACGUUCCCUUCCCUGGAUGCAUUGCUCAAGAAUGGGAAAUCCAGAACUCUACAAGCCAUUGAAUUGGAAGGUGGUGUUGGACGGCAGUGGCAUCUUUGGAAAUGGGCGCCAUACUGUGCUUCAGAGAAAAUCGCCAAACAAGAUGGUGGACGUUGUGAGAUGGCUGUAUAUGCUUUACAGUGCAGUAACUUAAAGCACAUUUUGCCAGUCUGUACUGACUGGGAGGUAUGUUGCGAUUUAGGUUAUUUUUUCCUUUGACUGCUGGUGUGUGAUCCAUCUUUUUCAUUCCUUUUCAUAGCCAGCUUGCUUGUGAGUUUGUUGUAAGACAGAUGAUCAUGCAGUACUUCAUGUUUCGUUUCCUAUUUGAGGCUUGAAAUGGUGUUGCUCAUGUC